AUGAACGCUGGCGGCGUGCCUAAUACAUGCAAGUCGAGCGAACAGACGAGGAGCUUGCUCCUCUGACGUUAGCGGCGGACGGGUGAGUAACACGUGGAUAACCUACCUAUAAGACUGGGAUAACUUCGGGAAACCGGAGCUAAUACCGGAUAAUAUAUUGAACCGCAUGGUUCAAUAGUGAAAGACGGUUUGCUGUCACUUAUAGAUGGAUCCGCGCCGCAUUAGCUAGUUGGUAAGGUAACGGCUUACCAAGGCAACGAUGCGUAGCCGACCUGAGAGGGUGAUCGGCCACACUGGAACUGAGACACGGUCCAGACUCCUACGGGAGGCAGCAGUAGGGAAUCUUCCGCAAUGGGCGAAAGCCUGACGGAGCAACGCCGCGUGAGUGAUGAAGGUCUUCGGAUCGUAAAACUCUGUUAUUAGGGAAGAACAAAUGUGUAAGUAACUAUGCACGUCUUGACGGUACCUAAUCAGAAAGCCACGGCUAACUACGUG
rnacentral:rRNA from 1 species